rnacentral:sRNA from 1 species
GACUGUGGGGUAUUAAAUUGGAUAUCAACCACUUCCCUUCUUGUUCCGGAUAUCUCCCCGUUGCGCUGUUUUAUGUGUACUAGUCCUGGCCUUUCCAUGCUUGUAGCCUUAACGCCAUUUCCAUUUCAAAUCUUUGCUUGUUAGCUGGGCCCUUGCGAAUAUCUGCUAUCAUGUCAGUACCAGGGGGGAAAUGAGACUCAAAAACAGGGUCCCCUGCGCCCUUCAUGUAAGCAAGCACAGCUUGCCGAAAAUGCCAUCGCAGUAUUUCAUCAGACACGCGAUUACUAUCAUUUGGGUUGCGACAGAUUGGGUCGAGUAUCCUUCCAUCAACCCCAAGAAUAUCUGGACCAAAUGAUAUGAUUUUAUAUCCGUCCUAUAUUUGUGCUAGUAUCACAAUGCAAGAUUUGGUUUUCUGGGGGAAGAAGACAAUUUUCAAUUCACUUACAUC